rnacentral:rRNA from 1 species
GAUGAACGCUCGCGAUAGGCUUAACACAUGCAAGUCGAGGGGCAGCAUGGUCUUAGCUUGCUAAGACUGAUGGCGACCGGCGCACGGGUGCGUAACGCGUAUGCAACUUGCCUCACAGAGGGGGAUAACCCGUCGAAAGACGGACUAAUACCGCGUACACUUGGGAUAGGGCAUCCUGACCCAAGGAAAUGAAAUUCGCUGUGAGAUAGGCAUGCGUCCCAUUAGCUAGUUGGUGAGGUAACGGCUCACCAAGGCGACGAUGGGUAGGGGAACUGAGAGGUUGAACCCCCACACUGGUACUGAGACACGGACCAGACUCCUACGGGAGGCAGCAGUGAGGAAUAUUGGGCAAUGGGCGAGAGCCUGAACCAGCCAAGUCGCGUGAAGGAUGACUGUCUUAUGGAUUGUAAACUUCUUUUAUACGGGAAUAACAAGAGUCACGUGUGGCUCCCUGCAUGUACCGUAUGAAUAAGCAUCGGCUAACUCCGUG